UGGUGUGAGCCAUUGAGCUAACAGAUACUAAUUGCCCGAGAGGCUUAACUAUACAACGCUCAAG
rnacentral:rRNA from 1 species